GGCCUGGUGGCAGAGUGGUCAUGCAGCGGCCUGCAAAGCCGCGUACGCCGGUUCAAUUCCGACCCAGGCCUCCA
rnacentral:tRNA from 2 species